rnacentral:rRNA from 1 species
CCCUUAGAUGUUCUGGGCCGCACGCGCGCUACACUGACGAAUGCAACGAGCUUAUAACCUUGGCCGAAAGGUCUGGGUAAUCUCCAAAUUUCGUCGUGAUGGGGAUAGAUUAUUGCAAUUAUUAAUCUUCAACGAGGAAUGCCUAGUAAGCGCAAGUCAUCAGCUUGCGUUGAUUACGUCCCUGCCCUUUGUACACACCGCCCGUCGCACCUACCGAUUGAAUGGUCCGGUGAAGCCUCCGGAUUGGCGCGCACCUCGGUACCGCCGAGAAGUUGGCUAAACCUUACCAUUUAGAGGAAGGUGAANUCGUAACA